GUUUUGGGAUCUCUGGAUUAUAAGGUGGCGGAGAGUUGAUUGUGUCUAUACUCUUAGAAUAGUAAGGUAGAAUCUAGAUGGUUGGAUUUUAUAAUUUGUAUCAAGUUUCUAGAAAAAUAAAUUGAUAUCUACAGUAUCUAAUAAAUGCACUAUCAAGAUAUAUAUAUAUAUAUUUUAGAGUGUAUAUUUGUGCAUUUUUUUUACUUGGUCAAAGUUGAAUAAGUUUAACUUAAGAUAAAGGUAAAAUGAUUUAUAAUUUUAAACGACAGGAGUUGUGUGAUAUCUAACAAUCAUUUUAUUAUGUGUAGUUAGUAGUUACUCCCUUUGUUCCAAAAUGUAGCAAAAUUUAUAUAUUUAGAAAAUUUAAAAUGACCGAUAUUUUGGAGAGUACUAACUAAUUUCUGUCCCUGUAUAUUAGGAUAUCAAAUGGUAUUGACCGAGGAUGGCGUCUUAUGGAAUAACCGAAAAUGCAAUCGAGACAAGCCGCAGACACCGGCGGCCAACAAGAACCCCGGCACCCCGCCGACCCACCCCCCGAAUCGACCAUGCCACCACGUCCCGGUGACCCUUGCAGCUGCAGGGUUGGUCCGCCGAACAACGCUCCCUCCGGCCUAGAGCACUCCGGUUGCAGGUUGAGCGGGCGUUUGCUUUCCAUUGUGGUGGGUGACUAAGCAAGCAAUGCGAGGAUGAGCCUUGAAACUGCCAAGUUGAAUUCACAGGCUAGCGUGGUUGUUGGGCUUAGCUUUGCGGUGUUGCGUUGAACCCCAACAGACCUCUGCGCAAAUUGCUGGUGGUGCCCAAAUUUCUAUGAUUGCUGGCUCCUUGAAUUAUCACCGAGGUGUCAAUCUGGUCUGCUAGUAUUUGUUAUAGCUAUGAAGAUUCGGCAUUCUGGCAUUUCUGUGGACGAUUAAGUGGUCCCAACCUGAUGACCACCUAAACGCACAAAUUAUGGUUAUAAAGUACCUUGCUCUGAGGAAGUGACUUCAUUCACCAAUUAGAUGAUCAUCUCAGAGGAAGCUGGAUAGUCCAUAGGCCAAUGGGGUGCUUUGCCAGUGCUGCAUUUGCGUGCUUGCUAACAGAAACUAAUAAAAUCAAGUGCGCCAUACAUGCUAAAAUGUCAUUGCCAGUUUGACACUACCACUGGGGACUAAUAUAAUUUGUUUUACGGUUAUGCUAAAGAUUGUGCUUAUGGAAGAAAUCUGGACCUCAAGUUAUACGAGGCAACUUCUUCCCUAGAGAAGAUUUAUUGGAUACAGUAAUAUACUGCUCAUAUAAGACUGAUGCUGGUGGUGGAGCUGAAUAUAUUGAAUUCUUACCUUCAAUAGACAAUACUGGAUCUGCACUGAAGAAACUGUAAUCUAUGCAAGCUUCUACAGUCAUUGUACCUUCCAGUACCUUGACCAC